rnacentral:rRNA from 1 species
UUGUUCCUACGGGGGGCAGCAGUGGGGAAUAUUGCACAAUGGGGGGAACCCUGAUGCAGCGACGCCGCGUGAAGGAAGAAGUAUUUCGGUAUGUAAACUUCUAUCAGCAGGGAAGAAAAAGGACGGUACCUGACUAAGAAGCCCCGGCUAACUACGUGCCAGCAGCCGCGGUAAUACGUAGGGGGCAAGCGUUAUCCGGAUUUACUGGGUGUAAAGGGCGUGUAGGCGGGCAUGCAAGCCAGAAGUGAAAUCUGGGGGCUUAACCCCCAAACUGCUUUUGGAACUGCGUGUCUUGAGUGAUGGAG